rnacentral:piRNA from 1 species
UGUGGCUUAGCACUGCUUCGCUGGUAGUC